CUGCUGCCUUCCGUAGGAGUCUGGUCCGUGUCUCAGUACCAGUGUGGGGGGCCUUCCUCUCAGAACCCCUACGCAUCGUCGCCUCGGUGGGCCGUUACCCCGCCGACUAGCUAAUGCGCCGCAUGCCCAUCCGUGGCCGGGAUUGCUCCCUUUGGCGGCCUUGGGAUGUCCCUAGGCCGCGUUACGCGGUAUUAGACGGGGUUUCCCCCGCUUAUCCCCCCUGCCACGGGCAGGUUGCAUACGUGUUACUCACCCGUGCGCCGGUCGCCGGCAACGG
rnacentral:rRNA from 1 species